UGACAAAGUCAAGUUACAUAUAUACAAGUUAUACAGCAUAUAUACAUGGGGAAUUUAAAAAAACAUCUUCAGAAAUCACAUUUAAUUGUGAAUUUCUCUUCACAAAUACCUUCGGAGCUAGAUUUGGGUGAAACCCUUCCUGUGGAGAGGUGAUCCUUGGCACCAGUAGUGUGGAAGAGGAGCGAGAGGCACACCAACACCAGCAGAUGAGUCUCCGUUUAAUACUUGGGAUAUUAUAACAGUAAGUUAUAGCUCCGAUAGUCUUCCAGCAGCAGCAAAUGUUACACAGUCCUAUAGAGGCAAACUUGAAGUAUAAGGUAAUAGUGUUUUGCAUACAAUGGCAAACUUGACCUUUCGCUUAAAAUGGAGUAUCGGCUUUGAAAUUUGGUCACUGGAUACAACUAUAUUAUCUUUCAUGUUGAUAGCAGCAAUCAUCAGAUUGCAAUCCAGUUAAGUACCUGUGAGGCAUGAGAUGUCAAAAAUACUUGUGGGUUAUUGGUAGCCUGUGUCAAGGCAUGUGGCACCUCAAAGUUUCCUUUGCAAACUUGCAGUAUAGGUUACCUGCUGCGAAAUAUUUACUGGAAGAAAUGGUUUCUUGAAUAGGACCGAAAGGAAAACCAUUGAAAAUGCCAAACGUGAAUUGGUGAAACAUCUUGUGCUCAAUACUAAAUUUCAUUUGCAAAACACGGAAGUAUUCUAGAAAGGGUGCCAGAAAUGGAAGAGUAUAAUUUUUAUUAAAUCGGGCAUUAAAUGUAAGUAGGUUGGAGUACAGAAAGGGUGCAACUGGCCUUCCCCACUGUAGCCUGAUGUGCUCCAACAUGCAUUUGUACUGAUGUGCAGGUGGUUAUAACACUAGUAUCAAACUGCAUGGUACCCGCUUACUAAUGUGACCUACCCUUGCAUGAUCUUCUGCAGACAGCAAGAAAUCCGCUACUGCUCUUACUACCUGUCCAACAGUUGUGGAGGAUUUUUUCCCCUUGGUGCUUGACAUGACAUGUUUUGCCCUCUGCCCUUAAAAUCUCAAUUCUUGUUACAUUUUUCAUCCAUUUUCUAUCUCCUGAUGGACCUGUAUUGAUUAAAAAACUAAUCACUGCAGAGGUGAUUGUAGAACUUUUGCUAGUGGCAGUGUGGAGGGGCUCCACUCUUUAAAAAAUAAAAUUACAUUGUGGGACAUGGAAUUAUUAUUAGAUGCUUUCAUGGACAUUUUGUUUACUGAAAAAGUCAGUCAUUAUCUGAGGUAUUUAAAUGUUAACUUCAAAUCUAAAACUGCAUCAAAAGAUAAAUUUCAGUAAGUCUUUAACAAGUUUCAGUAUGUUGCUUCACAUGCUGGACCCUCCAACUAUAAAAAACAGUGUUUUGCAGAGAACAGCUAUUCAGAUGUUAACAUCCCAGAAUUUGUGUAGAAGAUAUCCCUUACAUUGUUAGUUUCAUUGUGGUCACACUCUACAGUGUAGUGUUAUCAGCAUACAUAUAGAAGUUUGAAGAACAUAUUAAACUAAUUGCUAGACAUGCCUUACGUGAAUAUGUUUACUACUAAUAUGAGUCAGCUAAGUAGUUGCUGCAAGUUUUUAUGUUGUUUCUAAAGUGUCUUUAGACAAGGAUAUUUCUGCUGUUUCCUGUUCUUCUGUUUCAGAUAACUACUCAUAUAUGCAGCAACUGCUGAAGCAGCCUCUGGCAGUUUAUUGAAGUUCCGUGAACAAAGUGUUGUGUGGUCUGUUUGUGUAAAGUGAUAAAGAAAAAUGUUAAAGUGUAAUUGCAUAUGUAAUUGUGCAUAUAUUUAAUCAUUAUUUUUGCUAGUUGUAAGAUCUAUUUUCAUGUAAAUCAGAACAUUGUAUAAUAGGUAACAACUGAAUGAGGCAGUGUAGCUAUUAACAGCACUGACCUCAUAUUCGGGAGGAUGGGGUUCGCUCUGUCUGGCCAUCCUGGAUCGCUAAGGCAAAUGCCGGGAUGGUUCCUUCAUCAAGGCCACGGCUGACCACCUGUCCCGCCCUUAAAGAGAUCCUUUAAACAUUGUGUGUAUACCCAUAUUUUGAAUUAUUGAUGUUUGUUGUAUUAUGUUGAGAUAUUCUUGGAUGAAAUAAAAAAAGUUUAUACAUUUGUA